UGGACGAAAAGACUGGAAUGAAAAGACUUUCGGACUAAAAGACUCUUGGAUGAAAAGACCGAACACCAGAAUAGUUAGCUACAGUAAACAUGAUCCAUGGAAUCUUGAAAGUCUCAAAUUUAACCUUUCACCACGAGUUACAUCCUGGUGGUUCAGCUAGUGAAGCAUGAUCCGACUGGGCAGUUAAAUCCUUGUGCAUAUAAAAAAUUAUUCUUGUGACAUUUAACAUUAAAAAGCUUUUCUAAAGAUGAAGAUGGUUCUUUUUGUGUUGUCUUUUUUAGCCAAGGAAGGGUGUUGAAGAAGGACCAGUUCGUUUGAGGAAACAAGGCUUAGUCCGCAGAAUAGAGAAAUUUGGCUACAAAGUAACAGAUUUUGGAGAAAUGAUUGUACCACAUAUUAAUAAUCAUAGUGUUUCAAGUGAGAUGGUGAAAAACUCAGUAGAGUGUGGAAUUGUUGCAAAAAAGCUUGCCCAAGAAAUAGCAAAAGCUACACAAGAAGGGAAGCUUUCUCUUACAAUAGGAGGAGAUCACAGGUAGCCAAAAAGAUCUUAGGGACCUUAAGCAG